rnacentral:rRNA from 1 species
CGUGUAGGCGGAUCGGCAAGCUGGGGGGUGAAAUCCCUGGGCUCAACCCGGGACGUGCUUCCGGAACUACCGAUCUGGAGAGAGGCAGAGGCAGGUGGAAUUCCAGGUGUAGAGGUGAAAUUCGUAGAGAUCUGGAGGAACACCGGCGGCGAAGGCGGCCUGCUGGGCCUUAUCUGACGCUGAGGCGCGAAAGCGUGGGGAGCAAACAGGAUUAGAUACCCUGGUAGUCCACGCUGUAAACGAUGAGCACUCGAUGUGCGAGGUAUCCACUCCUUGCGUGUCACAGCUAACGCAAUAAGUGCUCCGCCUGGGGACUACGGUCGCAAGACUAAA